rnacentral:rRNA from 1 species
CAAUAGCGUAUAUUUAAGUUGUUGCAGUUAAAAAGCUCGUAGUUGGAUUUCGGGUGGGAAUGGCCGGUCCGCCGUUUCGGUGUGCACUUGCUACGCCCACCUUGCUGCCGGGGACGUGCUCUUGAGUUCACGCUCGGGACACGGAGUCGGCGAGGUUACUUUGAGUAAAUUAGAGUGUUCAAAGCAGGCCUACGCUCUGAAUACAUUAGCAUGGAAUAACACGAUAGGACUCUGGCCUAUCUUGUUGGUCUGUAGGACCGGAGCAAUGAUUAAGAGGGACAGUCGGGGGCAUUCGUAUUUCAUUGUCAGAGGUGAAAUUCUUGGAUUUAUGAAAGACGAACUACUGCGAAAGCAUUUGCCAAGGAUGUUUUCAUUAA